UACGUAGGUGGCAAGCGUUGUCCGGAUUUACUGGGCGUAAAGAGCGCGCAGGCGGCUGAUUAAGUCGGAUGUGAAAGCCCCCGGCUCAACUGGGGAGGGUCAUUCGAUACUGAUUGACUUGAAGGCAAGAGAGAGAAGUGGAAUUCCCGGUGUAGUGGUGAAAUGCGUAGAUAUCGGGAGGAACACCAGUGGCGAAGGCGACUUCUUGGCCUGUUCUUGACGCUGAGGCGCGAAAGCUGGGGGAGCAAACGGG
rnacentral:rRNA from 1 species